GCUGAAUAUCUCCUCUCUGAAAUCUUGGGACCAGAAGUGUUUUGGAUUUUGGAUUUUUUUGGAUUUUGGAAUAUUUGCAUUGUAUACUUACUAGAUGGAGUCUCGCUCUGUUGCCCGGGCUGGAGUGCGGUGGUGUGAUCUCGGCUCGCUGCAAGCUCCGCCUCCCGGGUUCAUGCCAUUCUCCUGUCUCAGCCUCCCAAGUAGCUGGGACUACAGACCAAAGGAGAAGUCCCAUCUAACAUCCUUCUGUACAUCGUUACUGGAAAUGAAGAGCUGACAGUCAUAGACUGAUUGCCAAGCAGAACCCCACACUGCUUAACAGCUCGCACAGCGUUCCUGUUGACGUGUUGUUGCUGAGAGCACUUUCCAGUAAUCUUUCUGAACACAAAUCACCAGCUCAAUCUGUUUCCUGGGGAACUUGAACUACAACAGAAUGAUACUGGGGAGUUUGCAAAAUCAAACUAAACAUAGGCAGCACGAAGGACACAAAGCAGGGGAGCCCCAGAAAUCUUAGUGGUAGAAACCUUUAAACCUCUUAGGGUACCACCAGGGUAUCUCUGCUCAAUAUUUAAAUCCCUGGAAGGGAGCCUCUGAUUGGCCUUGUUUGGGUUGGGAAUCAGGGCCCUGUGAUCAGAACUACCUGGGAUAGUGGAGAGGAAAGAGAAGCAACCUGUGUCUUCCAGACCAUGGUAUCUGAAGUUUUCUUGGAGGAAGUCAAAUAAAUAUGUGGGUUGAGGAUGGGAGCUCUAAGCAGAGGAUGUGGUGGCUCAUUUAAGAUCACACAUUGACAAAGAGCAGAGUGGUGUCAAGAUUCUGGGACAGAGGCAAGUUAGAGAUAAAACUCUUGUUUUUCCCAAGGUCCAUCAUACAACUGAAAUGGAAGACUAUGGCUUGCUGACCAAUUCUUGCUCAUUUGGGGUUACUUUAUAUAGGGGGGUAAGUGUCCCUUCAGGUGGACUGAGAGUCACCAGAAGAUUUAGUGGAAGGACCCUGCCUCUGGGGAUGCAUAUGUAGCUGGUACUAAUGAGUACUUUCUAUGUAUCAGAAAGCCACCAAAUAUCACUCUUCCUCCCCUGAGUUCAGAACCACCUGACAGACAGACACAGGGGUCAUAUGGGGCUAGGUCGAAAGAUCAGCUUGAUUGAUAAUGGAUUGGUGGAUGUAGCCUGGGUAUACAGCUUCCUAGUACUAGACUCCUACAUCGGAGACAUCCAUUCUCCAACCAGUCACGAGAAGAACUGGCCAGAUACCGUAGUUUUUCUCAUUAGGGCAGGAGCUCAGUGCAUGGCAUGUCCACGCUGAAAGAAUGAGAGGAAAAAAUGAAUGGAAAAUACAGGUGGUAUUGAAGAAAGAGCACUCUUCCUGUGGGGGGUCAGAUCCAAAAUAAAGAAACCAGAUGGGGCUGAAUCUAACAUGCUCUGUUCCUUCUGUAUAACUCACCAUCCAGAGUGAGGAGGAGUGAGGGGAGGAGGAGCGAAAGGACAGGUGUGUCGCUCUGGCCAAAGUCCUUCCAUGUGCUCACAUGGAGCUGGGGAAGAGGAAGUGUGGAACAACUACUUUCCAUAUAUUUACAUAUAUUAGCAUAUCUAGUUUCACAACACUAUGAAGUAUCACUGUCCCGAUUUUAUAGAAGAGGAAACUGAGGCCAAGGCCAUCUUCCAAGGAUGUGCUUGCUUGGGAUUUGAACCAAGGAACUAAGUGUCCUCUGAUCUGAAAGCCCAUGUUCUUUUCAGUGCCCUUUACCUGCUCUUCAUUUGGAGUGCAGGGGAAGGGGAGGACUCCUGGCUCUCUUCUCCAGCCCUCACAGGGGUCCUGAAGCUUCCAGCUCACGUUGGACCUGGUUGCUUGAGUUACCUCAUGUACCUGAGUCUACAAAGGCUUCUAUGGGAAUGUGACAGAUUUGAAGGGGCAGUCACUGGGCCCGUACCAGGAAGGCUGGGAAUAGGGCUCCUUUCCUGUGGUGCUUAGCGUUGGUCUCCCCUGCAGGACCUAUACCCGCUUGCUAGACCAGGCUGUCCUCACAUGGCCAAAGAGGCUGCCACAAAGGCCUCACCUUGCCUCCCACCAGGACACCCUGGGCCAGGGCAAGAGUAGCUGCUUUAGCUCAGCCCUUCAGGUCAGGUCUGCAGUAAUCAGCUCCUUCCAAGGAAGGCUGGGCCCAACGGGGUCUCUGUUAGCUUAGGAAUGCCCUUUAGGCUUAAUUCUCUCUGGUUAUGAAUCCCCAAGACUCAACCCAUCCCCAGCUGGCUAGUCUAUUCUGUUGGACUCCGACAUUUUCCCCAAACCUGGCUUUUCUCUUGGUUUCCUUACAAGCCUUUGUGUCUUCACCAAGUUGUUACAUUUCUUGCUUUUUCAGUCUCUGCAGAUGUUCCAACCACUACACAUCCCCCCUCUCCCCCUCCAUACCCAUCUUCCUCUUCCUGUCUCCCUUUAUCCUUCUGUCUCUUCUUCCUCCUCUCUUCUUAUUGCUCAUCCCUGACCUCCGCCUCAACCUUCCCCUCUUUUCCUCUCUAAUCCUUCCCCUUGAACCCCAGGGAUAUAGGCCUGUCUGCAGAGGAAAGAUCUUUGUCACGUGAUUACUAAAUCCCCAACAUGUUAUUUGGUAGAAGGCAGCACAAUAGGAGUUUUCUUCUAGGGGCAAAGGGGCUAUAAAGGAUUUCCAAAUAUCAUAGAAAAUCACCUGAGGAUGCUGAGCUCAGGGCAGCUGCAGCAGGGGUGAAGGUAGGUCACAGCCCCCAACCCCCAUGGAGACGAAAGGUAACAAAAGGAGAGGGGAGAGUUCCAUACCUCAUUUUAUUCUCUUGACAGUUUUGCGCAGAAUUACCCCUGUCUGUAUUAUUAUCACUUGUAAAAGCAUUUUUUUCAUACCAUUUAAUCUAUCAGCCUUUUAUUAAAGCCUAGAUAAAAGUAGGAAAAAAAAAUCUCAUCAACAUCAGCCACCAGAAGGGAAAUUUCAGAGACUGAGAUGAUCAGAUUUCCAAGUUUAUUGAAAAACCUAUAGAUAACUGCAUGGCUGCUCAUGCUAUUUUAUAAAAUAAGUGCAGCCAGGCGGGCCAUUUAAUAACGUGGGAAUUGUCGACUGUGCGGAUAGUGGACAGAGCAUGAGCUCACCUCGUAAAGGCGUAGGCUCUCGCGGAAAUGAACACUGCGGCACACUGCGGGCCGGCAGCACAGCGUCACUCUGCAGACUGAGCCUCCCAGCUUCUCGGGAGCCGUCCACGGUGCAGCCAGCCACUAUGGGACACGGUGCCUAGGUCUUUCCAAGAACAGUAGAGCCCACACUUACCCCUCCCAUGUCAGCCACACUCUGGAGCUCACAUUUGGAGUAGUGAAAGGCUUUCAAAGGUAUUUAAUCUCACCACAAUCAUGAAAUAGGUAUGAAAACCCUCUUUUCCAAAUGAAGAAAUUGACCACCACAGGAGGGAAGGAACUUUGGUGAAUCCACAGAGUGGAGUGGCGGUGCUAGGGUGAUUACCUAGGGGUCCAGUUCCAGUUCCUGUUCUCCUUUUGCUCCAUUGGGCUUAUCCCAUCACCAAAAACAGUCUAGAGCCGGAGAUGUUAAAGAAACCACCCUUUGACCUGCAGGGUAAGUGUGUGAGAAUUGGUGGGUGGGUGGGGAUAGGGGAGUCAGGUUUGGGCAGUAGAACGGAGGAGUAAUGUAUACUCUAAAUAGGUUCAUUUCCUGACUCCCCCACUUAUCUGUGUGACCUCGUAUAUGUCACUUAACUUCUCUGUGCCUCUAUAAAAUGAGGAAUGAUAAUAAUAUCUACCUCAUAGGUUUGUGGUAAAGGUUAAAAGAGAUAAUGGAUCAAGCAUUUAAUACAGUAUAGUAAGUUGGAUAAAUGGUAUAGAGUUGGGCCCACUUUUGGAAUCAAAAGGAAUUUGUAAAAGUGCCUCACACAUGCCUGUCCUGUAGAGGUGAGCAAGUAUUUUCAAUCCCUUCUUGAUAUCUUUCCUGUGGCUAAGAAUCCUUACAGGCACUUGGGGCCCCUGCCUUCCUUGCUGUGGACUAGGAUGCCUGUAGGUACCAGGUUAGAAGAGUUGCUUCUUGGAAUUGCCAUGUGACUGUACAAUGUGCUAUCUGUGGCCCUGCCAUUGAUUCACAGUAUAACCUUGAGCUGACCUCAGUCUUACCUGGAUGGGCCUCUGUUUCCUUAGUUAUAAAGGGAUAAGGACAGAGCUACGUUUGAGGAAGUGUAGUUUGUGAACUUGUACACCAGAAUCAACUCCAUUGUUGAUGGCUGAAAAUGUUGAUUCAUGGGCCUUGCCCCAAGUUGGCUCAAUCACAAUCUCUAAUGGUGCUCUAGAAUGUAUAUUUGUAAAAAGCCCUCUCCACUUGCCCCAUGCCCUGGCCUAACUCUCAGAGAUUCUGAUAUAAUUGACCAUUAAUACAUAAUGAAAGUAAAUAAUGGAUUAAUAAAUUAAAAAUUGAUUUACUUUUUAA